rnacentral:rRNA from 1 species
GACGAACGCUGGCGGCGUGCCUAAUACAUGCAAGUUGAGCGAUGAAGCUUGGUGCUUGCACCAAUUUGAAGAGCAGCGAACGGGUGAGUAACGCGUGGGGAAUCUGCCUUUGAGCGGGGGACAACAUUUGGAAACGAAUGCUAAUACCGCAUAACAACUUUAAACAUAAGUUUCAAGUUUGAAAGACGCAAUUGCAUCACUCAAAAAUGAUCCCCCGUUGUAAUAGCUAGGUGGUGAGGUAAAGGCCAACCAAGGCGAAGGUACAUAGCCCACCUGAGAGGGUGAACGGCCCAAAUGGGACUGGGAAAAGGCCCAAGCGCCUACGGGAAGGAGCAGGAGGGGAACUUUGGCAAAGGACGGAAGGCUGGACGAGCAAAGCCGGGGGGGUGAAGGAAGUUGUCGGGUCGGAAAACUCUGUUGGUAGGGAAGAAAGUUAGUGAGAGUGGAAAGCUCAUGAAGUGACGGUAACUACUCAGAAAGCGACGGCUAACUACGUG